AGCAGCCGCGGUAAUUCCAGCUCCAAUAGCGUAUAUUAAAGUUGUUGCAGUUAAAAAGCUCGUAGUUGAACUUCGGGGUUCACCCAUUGGUCAGGCUUAAUUGUCUGUACUGGUGAGAUGAGUCUCUACCUUCCGAGGAACUUUCAUGCCAUUUGUUUGGUGUGAUGGGAAAUCAGGACUGUUACUUUGAAAAAAUUAGAGUGUUUAAAGCAGGCUAACGUCUGAAUACAUUAGCAUGGAAUAAUGAAAUAGGACGGAUUGAUUCUAUUUCGUUGGUUUCUAGGGUCACCGUAAUGAUUAAUAGGGAUAGUUGGGGGCAUUAGUAUUCAAUUGUCAGAGGUGAAAUUCUUGGAUUUAUUGAAGACUAACUACUGCGAAAGCAUUUGCCAAGGAUGUUUUCAUUAAUCAAGAACGAAAGUUAGGGGAUCGAAGGCGAUCAGAUACCGUCGUAGUCUUAACCAUAAACUAUGCCGACUAGGGAUCGGACGAAGUUAAUUUUAUAAUGACGC
rnacentral:rRNA from 1 species